UGUAACGCACAGUGGUGAAUUUGAAUCUGCAGAAAUGGUUAGAAGAAUAAAACCAGAAAAAAGAAAGGGAGUUUACAAACACAUUAGACUAUAUAAAAAGACUUAGAAAUAUAUACAAUACCAAUAAUUAUUUAAAACGAUAAUAAUAGAUUCCAAGAACUAAAUUCUCUAUAUAAUCUCUCUUAUGAGACAGAAUACAGUGAAUUGUGUGGCAUAUGGAUAUCCAAUGAAUUUACAUAUAGAACGUAAUACAUUUACUUUCUUUACCAAAGACAAACAUGAACACAUUAAUGUAACAUUGAGAUGCUGAAUUAGCUAAAUUGUAAUAUUAGGUUUCUGAUAGAUGCCUUAACCAAGAAAGAAGGAAGGGAAUUAGACCAGCCAAAGUUUUUUCGUUUUCAAUAAACUAGUCUGUCUUGGAUUUCUUUCACUAACUUCUGACAUAGAAUGAAGAUGCUGUAUCUGUGAAAAAAAUCCUACUUUAUGUUUUUGCCGACUCCAUGCAUGAGUUCUGCCUUUAUGCAGAAGGCUAAGAGCAGCAUCACCUUAAAAAAAAGAAAGAAAGUGCUACACAGUUACUUCCAUGCACGAGCUUCUCAAUAUCUAAUUUGACAUUUAUGUGUAAAAGGAUAAAAUUUCUUACCUCUCAUGAUUCUCAUAUUGUAAUGUUUUUGCUGUGAAAGAUAUUUGAUUAGCAGCAUCGUCCCUUGAUUUUGAUGCAUUGAGAUAACAUACUUGCACAAAUUUCUUGCAUUUUUUUCUUACCUGUUUGUAAAAUCACAAAUAUAAAAAAUAUUAGUUCUGAGUAACAUCUCUCUGCAACAGUUUUUUAAUACGUAAAGGAUGCCUUCGUUUUAUGUUUCUAUGUUACAAUGUAUUGAUCAAUUUUACAUCCACAUAUUAAUCAUAAUGAAAAUUGUGUUUGUUUAACUCUAUCACGAUAAGCAACAAAUUACUAAUAUUAUUAACUUAGGAAGAUGAUAAACACAUCUUGAAACUGAACAAAAAAUACAAUAGAAAAUAAAGAAAAAACACAUCUUGUCUUUCCAUGACCUCCCAAACCAUAUUGAUUGGUGUGUCGUUAUAUUCUCGAAUGAACGCCAUGAUUUCAAACUGUACAUGAGUUUAACAUCAAUGACAGUAAGAAAUGUUAAAGUCAUUCAUUUUGACUGGAUUACGGUAACACAAAUCAAGGGUGUAUGUUUUAUUAUCAGAAACUAUGAAUAAAUUUAAAAUGGUUUGUUUAAGAAUGAAAAACUCAUUUUCUGAAAAUGAAAGUAAAUGAUUCAAUUUACAAUACAAAGAAGUCUACACCCAAAAACAAAAGAAGAUUUUUUGGAAGAAAAAAGGAGAAAGAUGUGACCAAAAUCAUUCAGUUUAUGUAUAUUGCAGUUGAUAACAGAUUUUCUAAGUUUAAUCUGAUAUAUAGAAAUGUAUGAAUAUAAGGGAAGGGAAUCCCAACAAGGGUUUUUGAAAAUGAAAGGAAGAAACAUUCACAAAAGCAAAAGAAACAUAAACUAAAGGCAUCAUCAGAAAUAAAUUCACUCGUCUAAGAUGAAAGAGCAAACCUCUGACAUUGAACUUCAACAAAAUCUUUAUCUGUAAGAUAUAUUUCUUGGUUUAAUGCAAUGUUCCAUGUAUUUAUAGCCA
rnacentral:lncRNA from 1 species